rnacentral:rRNA from 1 species
GACGUAGGGCGCGGGCGUUGUCCGGAUUUAUUGGGCGUAAAGAGCUCGUAGGCGGCUUGUCGCGUCGUCCGUGAAAACUUGGGGCUCAACCCCAAGCUUGCGGUCGAUACGGGCAGGCUCGAGUUCGGUAGGGGAGACUGGAAUUCCUGGUGUAGCGGUGAAAUGCGCAGAUAUCUGGAGGAACACCGGUGGCGAAGGCGGCAUCCUGGACCGGUAUUGACGCUGAGGCGCGAAAGCCAGGGGAGCAAACGGG